rnacentral:rRNA from 1 species
CCCUUAGAUGUCCGGGGCUGCACGCGCGCUACACUGAAGGAAUCAGCGUGCUAAAACCAUUGUCGAAAGGCAUUGGUAAACCCAUUAAAAUCCUACGUGAUUGGGAUCGGGAAUUGCAAUUAUUUCCCUUGAACGAGGAAUUCCCAGUAAGUGUGGGUCAUAAGCUCGCGUUGAUUACGUCCCUGCCCUUUGUACACACCGCCCGUCGCUGCCCGGGACGGAGCCGUUUCGAGAAAAGCGGGGACUGCUGCUGUCGGGGCUUUCGGGCCUUGGCUUCGGUGGAAACCGCUUUAAUCGCAGUGGCUUGAACCGGGCAAAAGUCGUAACA